rnacentral:rRNA from 1 species
CGCGGCCUAUCAGCUUGUUGGUGAGGUAACGGCUCACCAAGGCGUCGACGGGUAGCCGGCCUGAGAGGGUGACCGGCUACACUGGGACUGAGACACGGCCCAGACUCCUACGGGAGGCAGCAGUGGGGAAUAUUGCACAAUGGGCGCAAGCCUGAUGCAGCAACGCCGCGUGAGGGACGACGGCCUUCGGGUUGUAAACCUCUUUUAGCAGGGAAGAAGCGAAAGUGACGGUACCUGCAGAAAAAGCACCGGCUAACUACGUGCCAGCAGCCGCGGUAAUACGUAGGGUGCAAGCGUUAUCCGGAAUUAUUGGGCGUAAAGAGCUCGUAGGCGGUUUGUCGCGUCUGCUGUGAAAACUGGAGGCUCAACCUCCAGCCUGCAGUGGGUACGGGCAGACUAGAGUGCGGUAGGGGAGAUUGGAAUUCCUGGUGUAGCGGUGGAAUGCGCAGAUAUCAGGAGGAACACCGAUGGCGAAGGCAGAUCUCUGGGCCGUAACUGACGCUGAGGAGCGAAAGGGUGGGGAGCAAACAGGCUUAGAUACCCUGGUAGUCCACCCCGUAAACGUUGGGAACUAGUUGUGGGGUCCAUUCCACGGAUUCCGUGACGCAGCUAACGCAUUAAGUUCCCCGCCUGGGGAGUACGG